AUACGGAGGGUGCAAGCGUUACUCGGAAUCACUGGGCGUAAAGCGCGCGCAGGCGGCUUGAUAAGUUGGAUGUGAAAGCCUACGGCUCAACCGUAGAACUGCAUCCAAAACUGUCAAGCUAGAGUCUGGGAGGGGAAGAUGGAAUUAGUUGUGUAGGGGUAAAAUCCGUAGAGAUAACUAGGAAUGCCAAAAGCGAAGGCGAUCUUCUGGAACAGUACUGACGCUGAGGCGCGAAAGCGUGGGGAGCAAACAGGAUUAGAAACCCUAGUAGUCC
rnacentral:rRNA from 1 species